UGGCGCCGAGGUUUGUUGCUCGCCUCUGGCGUCCGCUUGUUCUCUGUUGAGGUUAGAGACUAAUUUGUUCAAGUGCCCUUAUUUUUUUGUUGCUGUUGUUAAACUAACAGAGGUUCUCAAAUAUUACUUCAACAGCAAAAGCUGAUCUCCAAUCCUGUAAAGAACAUGGCAGCCAUCUGAGAAAGUCCUGCAGUUGGAGGAGAUGUGUGUCCCUUGUAAUGUUUGUCUGAAAUUCAAAUGUUGCUGGGCAUCCUGUAUUUUAUCUGGAAACCCUAGAAGAGUGACAUGUUUCCAAGAAUGCCUUGAAAGACUCUAAGGGGGUAAUUACAAUCUGAGGAUGAGAAGUCCCAUGAUCUGCCGUCUGCAAGCAGGUAUAAUUCAGUCUGUGUCAGAAGGCCUGAGAACCAGGGGAGCCAAUGGCUGAAGGCCUGAGAAGGGAGGGGUGGUGUGCUGGAGGACGUCCCAGAAUCUGAAGGCCUAAGAACCAGAAGCUCCGAUGUCUGAGGACUAGAGAAGAUGGAUGUCUCAGCUCAAGAAGAAAGAGAGAAUUCAUCCUUCCUCCACAUUUUUGUUCAACUGGCCUCUCAGUGGAUUGGAUGAUGUCUGUCCCUAUUGGUAAAGGUAGAUCUUCUUUACUCAGUCUACUGAUGCAAAUGGUAAUGUUUUCUGGAAACAUUCUUGCAGACACAUCCAGAAUUAAUGUUUUACCAGCUGUCUGAGUGUCCCUUAGCCCAAUCAAGUUGACAUGUAAAAUUAAUCAUCACAAACAUGAUCUACCCUUUACCUGUCUUUAGUGUUCUAACCCCUUGACUUUUUACUGUUCCUCAAAUAAACCAAGUACACUCUGUA